AAUAAAAGAUACUCCUGUCUGGUUGGGAAUUUCUCAUACAGUAGCUCUGUGGUUUUACUUUUCUCACAGGGCCAUUUCUUAGGUCUGUGAGAAGGUAAUGCACGACAGCA
rnacentral:snoRNA from 1 species